rnacentral:rRNA from 1 species
CCUACGGGCGGCUGCAGUGGGGAAUAUUGGGCAAUGGGCGCAAGCCUGACCCAGCAACGCCGCGUGAGGGAAGAAGGUCUUCGGAUUGUAAACCUCUGUCCUUGGGGACGAAAAAAAUGACGGUACCCAAGGAGGAAGCUCCGGCUAACUACGUGCCAGCAGCCGCGGUAAUACGUAGGGAGCGAGCGUUGUCCGGAAUUACUGGGCGUAAAGGGUGCGUAGGCGGCCAGGCAAGUCAGAUGUGAAAUCCCCGGGCUUAACUCGGGAGUUGCAUUUGAAACUGCUUGGCUUGAGUGCAGGAGAGGAAAGCGGAAUUCCUAGUGUAGCGGUGAAAUGCGUAGAUAUUAGGAGGAACACCAGUGGCGAAGGCGGCUUUCUGGACUGUAACUGACGCUGAGGCACGAAAGCGUGGGGAGCAAACAGGAUUAGAUACCCUAGUAGUC